UGAGUUGCCCAGUGGGGAAGAUGAAGAUAGUAACCCCAAAAUGGCCCGUACUAAAUACUUGUUUAAUAGAAUGUACUCACAGUAGUUAGCACUAAGACUUUCCCGAUGUGUUUUCAGCCUGGUGGUAGAAACAUGCAAAACACAUUUGUGGCUGGGUAGGAGUGUUUGAGAAUGCAGUCUUGAGAGUCAGGCAACUCUGGUUUUAAACUUGGCUGUGCCACUUCCUAGCCAUGUGACCUUAGGCAAAUUAAAUAAUCUUCUGGAACUCGCUUCCUCAUUUGUGAAAUAAAGUAAUAGUGCCUGUCAGUAAAUUAUGGUGUGGGCAUACAGAGAAAGAAUACAUAGCCUAAAACACAGUGUAGCUGUGUGCAGUCCUGUGGGAGCAUGCCUAAAGUGUAUCAUUAGCUAAAUACUACACAUUCUACUUAUUAUGUCCUUGUUGUUUAAAAUAAAAAGAACAUUUUAAUGGUGCAGAAAAGGUAUGAGAAAUAUAGACUGGGUAUGAAAAUAAAUCAAAAGAAACCUCAUUUCCUCAUUUGCCACUUUCAAAAACUAUGUGUUGCCAUUUACAAGUUAAUGUGCUUUUCAUUAUUGAUUUAUCACUUGCAUACUUAUUUAUGUAUCUGAAGAUUGAACACAGGGUCUCAUACAUGCCGGUCAACUGUUCUACCACUGAGCUAACCUCCAGCCUUGGUUUUCUCAGUAUGUGGCUCAGGGUGGCCUCAAAUCCAUGAUAAUUUACCUCAGCCUCUUGAGUGUUGGGAUUAUAAGUAUAUGCUACCACAGCUGGCUAUUAAAGGAAAAGAAAACUUUUACCCCAGGCUGAAACAUUCUGUGUGGACAGUGCUUAGCAGUAGACCUGACUCCCGGGAUCAGCACUAGUACAGGUUGUUGCUGGAGAUGGCAGCUGGGGUGGAAGACUACUUGACUAUCUGUGGUCCUUGGCAGUAGAAAUCGAUGUUGGGGGUGACAGUUUCCUGGGCCAGUUGGUUCCCCAAGUGUAGGACCUUGGUUAUCAAGUGGGGACUAGCGUCUGUGUGCCUUAGUGAAGUAGGCCAGAUGCCAGCCUGGGGUAGCUGAGUGCCAAGCACACAAGAACACUCCCCUCUUUUUCCAUCCAUGCCUCCUACCCCAUUCUCUUGGAGAACAACAGUGCCCAUUUUUAUCUUGGAGAGGUAGAAUAGCCUGCCAAGUUGUGCCUGCCUGCCUUAAAAGAUUUUUAUAGGGCUAGAGAGAUGGCUCAGCACUUAAGAGCAGUUGCUGCUCUCUCAGAGUGCCUGGUUCAGUUACUAGGACCAAACUGGUGACUCACAACCAUGUGUAACUCCUGUGGAUGCCCCCCCCGCAACCUCUGUAGCCACCAGUCACACGCAAAGUAAACAUACAUGUGUACAUGCAGGUAAGACAUUCAUAUGCAUAAGGAUUUUUUAAAGCUUCUAAAGGUACUUGGGUCCUAGGCCUACCAUGAACAGUGUCAUAUCAUAGGCUUUGUGGAGCCGUGUCUAGGUUUAAAGUCUGUCCCAGAGUGGGCACCAAGCCUUUCAAGCCUGCUUUUCCCUUUCAGAAGGGCUGAUGUGCUCUGCCUCAUUUUCUAGCAUGUCACUGAGCCUUCUUCCUUUCACAUUAAGGAUAUCUGGGAGACAGUUAUUGUACUAACUAGUUAGUGUGCUGGCUAGUUUUGUGUCAACUUGACACAAGCUGGAGUUAUCACAGAGAAAGCUUCAGUUGAGGAAAUGCCUCCGUGAGAUCCAGCUGUAAGGCAUUUUCUCCAUUAGUGAUCAAGGGGGAUAGGCCCUUGUGGGUGGUGCCAUCUCUGGGCUGGUAAGCCAGUAAAAAACAUCCCUCUGUGGCUUCUGCAUCAACUCCUGCUUUCUGACCUGCUUGAGUUCCAGUCCUGACUUCCUUGGUGAUGAACAGCAGUAUGGAAGUGUAAGCUGAAUAAACCCUUUCUUCCCCAAAUUGCUUCUUGGUUAUUCCUGGUCUUGUCCAGGAAUGGAAACCCUGACUAAGACAGUUAGGUAUAUAUAUAUAUAUACACAUAUACACAUAUACAUAUACAUAUACAUAUAUAUAUAUAUAUAAUGUGAGAGCACAGGCAUAUAGAGAGACCAAUUUUCAGGAUCGUUAGCUCUUUUCACUGUGGGACUGGGGAUCACACAAGUUGUGUAGUGUGCUCUUAUAACAGCUGCGCCACUUAACUAGCCCAACUUAAAUUUUAUUCGUAUCAGUGACUUUUAAAGAACUGGCAGGGGAAUGUCUAACUGUUUUAGUGCCCAAAGUUAUUGUUGGGUACAGAAAUUUAAAGGGGAUGGUUUGAGAGAAUGCUGCGGGAGGUGUUAGGAUCUUGCUGUGUAGCCCAGGGUGAUCUUGAACUUUUAAAAAAAUUAUUUUUAUGGGUAUGGAUAUUUUGCCUUCAUGUAUAUCUGUACACCACAUGCAUGUAAUGACUGUGGAGGCCAGAAGAGGAUGCCAGAUCCUUCAGAACUGGAGUUACAGUUAUGAACUGCCAUGCAGGUGUUGGGACUCAAACCUAGGUUAGUAUCUGUCUCUCUCCCCUUCUCUACUUCCCCCCUCCUUCCCUCCCUCUCUUUCUCUCCCUCUUUAUUUUAUUUUAUUUUGGUAGGCUCACUAUGUAGUCCUGGGUAACCUAGAACUCUGAGACCUGCCUCUGCCUCCCUAGUGCUAAGACUACAGGUGCAUGCCACCAGGCCCAUCUUGACAUGAUGUUAUAUGUCAGGCUUUGUGCUAGACAUUUCAUAGAUGCUAGCAUUUAAGAGUUAAGUAAUUGAAAUCUCUAAAUGUAGAAAGGAAACAGCUUGUUGUGCUGAGAAUCAAGACACCUGGAUUACAGUCUUGGUUUAUUACUGAAAAGUUUGUUGAUCUCUGGGCAGCUUUCUGUUCCCUCAUCUGUACACUGAGGAAAGGUUUUGGUUAGAUAGUUGCUAGUCUGACUCUGACACUUGAUGGCUGAUUUAAACAUUUAAAUUUAAAUUCUCAUAGUGUUUUUUUGUUGAAUCGAACACCUUUAAAAAAAAAAGGUCGAGAAAGAAGCAAUCGCUUGAUCACUAACUCAAAUU
rnacentral:lncRNA from 1 species